ensembl:misc_RNA Metazoa_SRP Metazoan signal recognition particle RNA
GCCGGGUGCGGUAGUCCCAGCUGCUCAGGAGGCUGAGGCGGGAGGAUCACUUGAGCCCAGGAGUUCUGGGCUGCAGUGCACUAUGCUGAUCGGGUCUCCACACUAAGUUUGGCAUCAAUAUCGUGACCUCCAGGGAGUGGGGGACCACCAGGUUGCCUAAGGAGAGCUGAGCCAGCCCAGGACAGAAACGGAACAGGUCAAAACUCCCGUGCUGAUCAGUAGUGGGACCGCACCUGUGAAUAGCCACUGCAUUCCAGCCUGGGCAACAUAGUGAGACCCCAUUUUUA